rnacentral:lncRNA from 1 species
AGAAUGAAGUAAGUUUGAGCGUUGCAAAUGGAUUUCAAGUGAAUGUUGAAUUCAUAGGAGUAGUGAAGUUAACUUUAGAGUCUGAUUUUUAUCUUGUUUUGGAAAAUACAGUUUAUGUACCGCAGAUGAGACGGAAUUUAAUUUCUAUACCGAAACUUGAUGCUUGUGGUUUUACAUUUAAUUUUGGUAAUGGAAUGGUUAAGUUAUUUAAUGAUUCUCGUUUGAUUG